AUUGAACGCUGGCGGCAGGCCUAACACAUGCAAGUCGAGCGGAGCGGCGGACGGGUGAGUAAUGCCUAGGAAUCUGCCUGGUAGUGGGGGAUAACGUCCGGAAACGGGCGCUAAUACCGCAUACUAUCAGAUGAGCCUAGGUCGGAUUAGCUAGUUGGGGGGGUAAAGGCCUACCAAGGCGACGGUCCCUAGCUGGUCUGAGAGGAUGCCCAGCCACACUGGAACUGAGAAACUGGCCAGAUUCCUAUGGGAGGCCGCAGGAGGGAAUAUUGCACAAUUGGCGCAAGCCUGACGGAGCAACGCCGCGUGAGUGAUGAAGGUCUUCGGAUCGUAAAACUCUGUUAUUAGGGAAGCGGUACCUAAUCAGAAAGCCACGGCUAACUACGUGCCAGCCGCCGCGGUAAUAC
rnacentral:rRNA from 1 species